AACGAACGCUGGCGGCAUGCCUAACACAUGCCAGUCGAACGAGAUCCUUCGGUGUCUAGUGGCGCACGGGUGCGUAACGCGUGGGAAUCUGCCCUUAGGUUCGGAAGAACAGUUAGAAAUGACUGCUAAUACCGGAUGAUGACGUUAAGUCCAAAGAUUUAUCGCCUGAGGAUGAGCCCGCGUAGGAUUAGCUAGUUGGUGUGGUAAAGGCGCACCAAGGCGACGAUCCUUAGCUGGUCUGAGAGGAUGAUCAGCCACACUGGGACUGAGACACGGCCCAGACUCCUACGAGAGGCAGCAGUGGGGAAUAUUGGACAAUGGGCGCAAGCCUGAUCCAGCAAUGCCGCGUGAGUGAUGAAGGCCUUAGGGUUGUAAAGCUCUUUUACCCGGGAUGAUAAUGACAGUACCGGGAGAAUAAGCCCCGGCUAACUCCGUG
rnacentral:rRNA from 1 species